GACGAACGCUGGCGGCGUGCUUAACACAUGCAAGUCGAACGAUGAACCCGGAGCUUGCUCCAGUGGAUUAGUGGCGAACGGGUGAGUAACACGUGAGCAAUCUGCCCUUGACUCUGGGAUAACUGCGGGAAACUGUAGCUAAUACCGGAUAUGACACCUUGGGGCAUCCCGAGGUGUGGAAAGAAUUUCGGUCAAGGAUGAGCUCGCGGCCUAUCAGCUUGUUGGUGAGGUAACGGCUCACCAAGGCGACGACGGGUAGCCGGCCUGAGAGGGUGACCGGCCACACUGGAACUGAGACACGGUCCAGACUCCUACGGGAGGCAGCAGUGGGGAAUAUUGCACAAUGGGCGAAAGCCUGAUGCAGCAACGCCGCGUGAGGGAUGACGGCCUUCGGGUUGUAAACCUCUUUUAGCAGGGAAGAAGCGAAAGUGACGGUACCUGCAGAAAAAGCACCGGCUAACUACGUGCCAGCAGCCGCAGUAA
rnacentral:rRNA from 1 species